AUUGUACGCUGGCGGCAGGCCUAACACAUGCAAGUCGAGCGGAUGACGGGAGCUUGCUCCUUGAUUCAGCGGCGGACGGGUGAGUAAUGCCUAGGAAUCUGCCUGGUAGUGGGGGACAACGUUUCGAAAGGAACGCUACUACCGCAUACGUCCUACGGGAGAAAGCAGGGGACCUUCCGGCCUUGAGCUAUCAGAUGAGCCUAGGUCGGAUUAGCUAGUUGGUGGGGUAAUGGCUCACCAAGGCGACGAUCCGUAACUGGUCUGAGAGGAUGAUCAGUCACACUGGAACUGAGACACGGUCCAGACUCCUACGGGAGGCAGCAGUGGGGAAUAUUGGACAAUGGGCGAAAGCCUGAUCCAGCCAUGCCGCGUGUGUGAAGAAGGUCUUCGGAUUGUAAAGCACUUUAAGUUGGGAGGAAGGGCAGUAAGCUAAUACCUUGCUGUUUUGACGUUACCGACAGAAUAAGCACCGGCUAACUCUGUGCCAGCCGCCGCCGUAA
rnacentral:rRNA from 1 species